UAAUACUUACAUAUUGUUUAUCAAAUCAGUAUUUUUAAUUUGAGUUUAAACAGUUUUUAUUAUUUUUAUAAUUUCAAAGUGGGAAAAUUGGCUAAUUAAAUUAUAGUCUCUUUUGCUUUCAAUUAUAACCCAAUUUCAAUCCCAAUCCACCCCCUAAUUAAACGAUCCAAUUCCAUUUCUUACACGACUUAGAUCUAAUUAAAUAAACUCGCCUGGACCCUAUUUUUAAUCGU
rnacentral:lncRNA from 1 species